GGGGUGGGGCGCGUGCCUACCAUGCCCCUCGAACGGGGUCAUUAAGGAAAAAUCCUUCGGGAUUCGGAAUUCUUCCCUUAAUGGCGGACGGGUGAGUAACGCGUGAGCAAUCUGCCUUUGGAUGGGGGAUAACAGCCGGAAACGACUGCUAAUACCGCAUAAUGCAGCGGGACCGCAUGGUUUUGCUGCCCCAGAUUUAUCGUCCAAAGAUGAGCUCGCGUCUGAUUAGCCAGUUGGCGGGGUAACGGCCCACCAAAGCGACGAUCAGUAGCCGGACUGAGAGGUUGAACGGCCACAUUGGGACUGAGACACGGCCCAGACUCCUACGGGAGGCAGCAGUGGGGAAUAUUGCGCAAUGGGGGAAACCCUGACGCAGCAACGCCGCGUGAGUGAAGAAGGCCUUCGGGUUGUAAAGCUCUUUAAUCAGGGACGAAGAAUGACGGUACCUGAAGAAUAAGCUCCGGCUAACUACGUGCCAGCAGCCGCGGUAAUACGUAGGGAGCAAGCGUUAUCCGGAUUUACUGGGUGUAAAGGGCGUGUAGGCGGGCCUGCAAGUCAGAAGUGAAAUCUGGGGGCUUAACCCCCAAACUGCUUUUGAAACUGUGGGUCUUGAGUGAUGGAGAGGCAGGCGGAAUUCCCAGUGUAGCGGUGAAAUGCGUAGAUAUUGGGAGGAACCCCAGUGGCGAAGGCGGCCUGCUGGACAUUAACUGACGCUGAGGCGCGAAAGCGUGGGGAACAAACAGGAUUAAAUACCCUGGAAAUCCCACCCGUAAACGAUGGAUACUAUGUGCGGGAAGGAUUGACCCCUUCCGUGCCGCAGUUAACACCAUAAAUACCCCCCCUGGGGAAG
rnacentral:rRNA from 1 species